rnacentral:rRNA from 1 species
AAUACCGGAGAAUGUUAUCACGGGAGACACACGGCGGGUGCUAACGUCCGUCGUGAAGAGGGAAACAACCCAGACCGCCAGCUAAGGUCCCAAAGUCAUGGUUAAGUGGGAAACGAUGUGGGAAGGCCCAGACAGCCAGGAUGUUGGCUUAGAAGCAGCCAUCAUUUAAAGAAAGCGUAAUAGCUCACUGGUCGAGUCGGCCUGCGCGGAAGAUGUAACGGGGCUAAACCAUGCACCGAAGCUGCGGCAGCGACGCUUAUGCGUUCGUUGGGUAGGGGAGCGUUCUGUAAGCCUGUGAAGGUGGCCUGUGAGGGUUGCUGGAGGUAUCAGAAGUGCGAAUGCUGACAUAAGUAACGAUAAAGCGGGUGAAAAGCCCGCUCGCCGGAAGACCAAGGGUUCCUGUCCAACGUUAAUCGGGGCAGGGUGAGUCGACCCCUAAGGCGAGGCCGAAAGGCGUAGUCGAUGGGAAACGGGUUAAUAUUCCCGUACUUGGUGUUACUGCGAAGGGGGGACGGAGAAGGCUAUGUUGGCCGGGCGACGGUUGUCCCGGUUUAAGCGUGUAGGUGUGUGUUCCAGGUAAAUCCGGUUCACUUUAACACUGAGGCGUGACGACGAGGCACUACGGUGCUGAAGCAACAAAUGCCCUGCUUCCAGGAAAAGCCUCUAAGCAUCAGGUAACAUCAAAUCGUACCCCAAACCGACACAGGUGGUCAGGUAGAGAAUACCAAGGCGCUUGAGAGAACUCGGGUGAAGGAACUAGGCAAAAUGGUGCCGUAACUUCGGGAGAAGGCACGCUGACAUGUAGGUGAAGUGAUUUACUCAUGGAGCUGAAGUCAGUCGAAGAUACCAGCUGGCUGCAACUGUUUAUUAAAAACACAGCACUGUGCAAACACGAAAGUGGACGUAUACGGUGUGACGCCUGCCCGGUGCCGGAAGGUUAAUUGAUGGGGUCAGCGCAAGCGAAGCUCCUGAUCGAAGCCCCGGUAAACGGCGGCCGUAACUAUAACGGUCCUAAGGUAGCGAAAUUCCUUGUCGGGUAAGUUCCGACCUGCACGAAUGGCGUAAUGAUGGCCAGGCUGUCUCCACCCGAGACUCAGUGAAAUUGAACUCGCUGUGAAGAUGCAGUGUACCCGCGGCAAGACGGAAAGACCCCGUGAACCUUUACUAUAGCUUGACACUGAACAUUGAGCCUUGAUGUGUAGGAUAGGUGGGAGGCUUUGAAGUGUGG